rnacentral:piRNA from 1 species
UGGUAUCCCCAAAGUGUGUGGUU